UACAGAGGGUGCGAGCGUUAAUCGGAAUUACUGGGCGUAAAGCGCGCGUAGACGGUUUUGUAAGUCAGAUGUGAAAUCCCUGGGCUCAACCUGGGAACUGCAUUUGAAACUGCAUGGCUAGAGUAUCGAAGAGGGAAGUGGAAUUUCCGGUGUAGCGGUGAAAUGCGUAGAUAUCGGAAGGAACACCAGUGGCGAAAGCGACUUCCUGGUCGAAUACUGACGUUCAUGUGCGAAAGCGUGGGAGCAAACAGG
rnacentral:rRNA from 1 species